GAUCCUGGCUCAGGAUGAACGCUGGCGGCGUGCCUAACACAUGCAAGUCGAACGAAGCACCUUUUAAGAUUCUUCGGAUGAUUGAUUGGUGACUGAGUGGCGGACGGGUGAGUAACGCGUGGGUAACCUGCCCUGUACAGGGGGAUAACAGUUGGAAACGGCUGCUAAUACCGCAUAAGCGCACGAGAGGACAUCCUCUUGUGUGAAAAACUUCGGUGGUACAGGAUGGGCCCGCGUCUGAUUAG
rnacentral:rRNA from 1 species